rnacentral:rRNA from 1 species
CAAGUCGAACGGCAGCACGGGUGCUUGCACCUGGUGGCGAGUGGCGAACGGGUGAGUAAUACAUCGGAACGUACCUUAUCGUGGGGGAUAACGCAGCGAAAGCUGUGCUAAUACCGCAUACGCCCUGAGGGGGAAAGCGGGGGAUCGAAAGACCUCGCGCGAUUAGAGCGGCCGAUGCCUGAUUAGCUUGUUGGUGGGGUAAAAGCCCACCAAGGCGACGAUCAGUAGCUGGUCUGAGAGGACGAUCAGCCACACUGGGACUGAGACACGGCCCAGACCCCUACGGGAGGCAGCAGUGGGGAAUUUUGGACAAUGGGGGAAACCCUGAUCCAGCAAUGCCGCGUGAGUGAAGAAGGCCUUCGGGUUGUAAAGCUCUUUUGUCAGGGAAGAAACACCGGCUCUAACACAGUCCGGGAAUGACGGUACCUGAAGAAUAAGCACCGGCUAACUACGUGCCAGCAGCCGCGGUAAUACGUAGGGUGCGAGCGUUAAUCGGAAUUACUGGGCGUAAAGCGUGCGCAGGCGGUUAUACAAGACAGGCGUGAAAUCCCCGGGCUUAACCUGGGAAUGGCGCCUGUGACUGUAUAGCUAGAGUGUGUCAGAGGGGGGUAGAAUUCCACGUGUAGCAGUGAAAUGCGUAGAUAUGUGGAGGAAUACCAAUGGCGAAGGCAGCCCCCUGGGAUAACACUGACGCUCAUGCACGAAAGCGUGGGGAGCAAACAGGAUUAGAUACCCUGGUAGUCCACGCCCUAAACGAUGCUGACUAGUUGUUCGGGAUUUACAUCCUGAGUAACGUAGCUAACGCGUGAAGUCAGCCGCCUGGGGAGUACGGUCGCAAGAUUAAAACUCAAAGGAAUUGACGG